rnacentral:rRNA from 1 species
UACGUAGGGUGCAAGCGUUGUCCGGAAUUAUUGGGCGUAAAGAGCUCGUAGGCAGUUUGUCGCGUCUGCUGUGAAAACGCGAGGCUCAACCUCGCGCCUGCAGUGGGUACGGGCAGACUAGAGUGCGGUAGGGGAGAUUGGAAUUCCUGGUGUAGCGGUGGAAUGCGCAGAUAUCAGGAGGAACACCGAUGGCGAAGGCAGAUCUCUGGGCCGUAACUGACGCUGAGGAGCGAAAGCGUGGGAGCGAACAGG